rnacentral:rRNA from 1 species
UACGGAGGGUGCUAGCGUUGUUCGGAAUCACUGGGCGUAAAGCGCGUGUAGGCGGCUCUCUAAGUCUGGUGUGAAAGCCCGGGGCUCACCCCCGGAAGUGCACUGGAAACUGGGAAGCUAGAGUACCGGAGAGGAGGGUGGAAUUCCUGGUGUAGCGGUGAAAUGCGUAGAUAUCAGGUGGAACACCGGUGGCGAAGGCGGCUUUCUGGACGGUAACUGACGCUGAGACGCGAAAGCGUGGGGAGCAAAC